AGACGAAAUCCUAGCUGCCUCCAUCGGAAGAACUCUGAUUCGUUUAGUGCUUCUCACUCUUUCCUCUCAAACAGAGACACCUUAGCAACAUUUGGCCCAUCCCAGAGUAAAACUUUUGUGUUUCUUUCUCCCUCACGCAGGGUAGGGAGAAGACAAUGGUAGCUGAAAUGUCGAUUAUUGAAGGUUUGUGGAGGUUGGUGGAAAUUGGUUGUAAUGGAGGGUAAUGGUGGUUUUAAGGUAUUUGUGUGGUGGCUUAUGGUAUUAGGUUAUCAAUUUCAGGCAUGUAUGAUAAUGGAUAAGCAACAGCAGGAGAAGACGAUGAAAAAUAGAAGUGGUUUAGGGUUUGCUUUGAUCCAAAGUCUCGUUUCCAAAAUCUUGUUUGAUUUCUGAAUUGAGUUUGAAUUCUUCUUGUUUGAGUUCUGAAUUGUGUUUGAGUUUUGAAUUGUUGAAUUCUUCUUGUUUUAGUUCUGAAUUGUGCUUGAGUUUUGAA